UACGAAGGGGGCUAGCGUUGCUCGGAAUCACUGGGCGUAAAGCGCACGUAGGCGGCUUUUUAAGUCAGAGGUGAAAUCCUGGAGCUCAACUCCAGAACUGCCUUUGAUACUGAGAGGCUUGAGUCCGGGAGAGGUGAGUGGAAUUCCUAGUGUAGAGGUGAAAUUCGUAGAUAUUAGGAAGAACACCAGUGGCGAAGGCGGCUCACUGGCCCGGUACUGACGCUGAGGCGCGAAAGCGUGGGGAGCAAACAGG
rnacentral:rRNA from 1 species